GGAAAGUGAAACCAUCUGGGGAGUAAAUGGCUGACCGGGGCUUCUAACACAGGCUUCCCAUGACUCAGGCAACAGUCCACCCACCACAGGCCACUAUUCAGUUUUAACAUCAUAGACAAGCAUUCCUGUAUUCAGGGUAUUGUGAUGCUUAGGGCAAGAAACACACACAUUUUCAUGCAAACAAACCUGACUGAGGAUCCAGAGGACUGAAAAGAAGAAGCAGAGGCCAUUCCUCCAACAUCAGACAAAUCCAGGCAUUUGCUUCUUCCACAGUCUAGAGUUGCUGUUUUGAGUGAGUGAUCUGUAAUGGGGGCCCAGUCUGUUUGUUCUUCUUCAACACCCAUUUUUUCUCCUGGGAGAAACAGCACAAAACAAAUGUGAGCAAAUAGGCUUAAAUCUGUCUCAGCUGAUUUUUUUACUGCAGCACACCCAUAUUGUUCUGUACAUAACAGAAAACAUUAUGCUUCUCUAGUUUGCACGGUACACAACCCUUGUAAACGUCAUACUUUAAAACUAUUUACUUACAACUAGACUUCAACAACUGUUUCAGUGAUUUCUCCCUGUCUCUUCCCCUCUACUCAAUUUAUCAUUUUUAAACACUAUAAAAACAGGGAGAAGAAAUAAGAAAUUACAAGCAAUGGACUUCUCUCAUGUCUGUUGGGGGAUGAGAACCCCUCCUUUCUGACCUUGAAAUGGAUGUUGGGGAUGUGGCACGGGCUGAAGAGGAUGGCAUGGAGUGGACACGCGCUCCAGAGGAUUGUGAUGGGGAGACUGGGCUCACUGCUGAUGGGGAUGCUGAGGAAACGUGGGGUCCUUCAGGAUCGGACCCAAGGUAGUCUAAUUGGAGGAGUGGGGAUAGUUCCACAGCUGAGGGUAGUCUGGGCGUCGGCAGGGUGGUUUCAACUCAGAUGAGGAAUGGGAACAACCUGUGGGAAGGGCGGUGCCCAGUUCAAGUUCUGAAGACAAAUUGUAAAUAAAUUGUGGGCAUUUGGCCAUUGGGCCCUUGACUGGCAAGGUGGUUGUUGGGCGCCGCAACCGACGUAAGUUUAUUCUGGGUUACCUCUAUGACAGGGGUUGGAACUGUGUGGGUUUUCUUUAGACUGCAUUGUGAUUACUGUCU